AACGGUAACAGGAAGCAGCUUGCUGCUUCGCUGACGAGUGGCGGACGGGUGAGUAAUGUCCGGGGAAACUGCCUGAUGGAGGGGGAUAACUACUGGAAACGGUAGCUAAUACCGCAUAACGUCGCAAGACCAAAGAGGGGGACCUUCGGGCCUCUUGCCAUCGGAUGUGCCCAGAUGGGAUUAGCUAGUAGGUGGGGUAACGGCUCACCUAGGCGACGAUCCCUAGCUGGUCUGAGAGGAUGACCAGCCACACUGGAACUGAGACACGGUCCAGACUCCUACGGGAGGCAGCAGUGGGGAAUAUUGCACAAUGGGCGCAAGCCUGAUGCAGCCAUGCCGCGUGUAUGAAGAAGGCCUUCGGGUUGUAAAGUACUUUCAGCGGGGAGGAAGGGAGUAAAGUUAAUACCUUUGCUCAUUGACGUUACCCGCAGAAGAAGCACCGGCUAACUCCGUGCCAGCAGCCGCGGUAAUACGGAGGGUGCAAGCGUUAAUCGGAAUUACUGGGCGUAAAGCGCACGCAGGCGGUUUGUUAAGUCAGAUGUGAAAUCCCCGGGCUCAACCUGGGAACUGCAUCUGAUACUGGCAAGCUUGAGUCUCGUAGAGGGGGGUAGAUUCCGGGUGUAG
rnacentral:rRNA from 1 species